AGAGUUUGAUCAUGGCUCAGAACGAACGUAGCGGCGCGCUUAACACAUGCAAGUCGAGCGAGAAAGGGGCAACCCCGGUAAAGCGGCGCACGGGUGAGUAACACGUAGGUAAUCUACCCCCAGGUGGUGGAUAACCUUCCGAAAGGAGGGCUAAUACAGCAUGAGACCACGACCCGCAAGGGAUUGAGGUCAAAGCCGGC
rnacentral:rRNA from 1 species